UCCCGUGGUCGUUGGCCUUAGGUCACGUACGUACGAGUAGGUUGUAUACUGGCUCAGGAUGAACGCUGGCGGCAUGCCUAAUACAUGCAAGUCGAACGAGUAGACCUUCGGGUUGCUAGUGGCGAACGGGUGAGUAACACGUAGAUAACCAACCCUUAUGACGAGGAUAACCCGGGGAAACCUGGACUAAUACUGGAUAGGAGCUAAUUUCACAAGAGGUUAGUUUUAAAGGCGCCUCAAAGCGCCGCAAGAGGAUGGGACUACGUCGCAUUAGCUAGUUGGUGGGGUAACGGCCUACCAAGGCAACGAUGCGUAGCUGGGCUGAGAGGCCGAACAGCCACACUGGGACUGAGACACGGCCCAGACUCCUACGGGAGGCAGCAGUAGGGAAUUUUCGGCAAUGGGGGGAACCCUGACCGAGCAAUGCCGCGUGAAUGAAGAAGGUCUUCGGACUGUAAAGUUCUGUUAUCGGGAAAGAAGGUAUAUACCAGGAAAUGGGUAUAUAUUGACGGUACCCAAUUAGAAAGCCCCGGCUAACUACGUGCCAGCCGCCGC
rnacentral:rRNA from 1 species